rnacentral:rRNA from 1 species
GAUGAACGCUAGCUACAGGCUUAACACAUGCAAGUCGAGGGGCAGCGGGAGGAGUGCUUGCACUUCUUGCCGGCGACCGGCGUACGGGUGAGUAACACGUAUGCAACCUGCCUCCGUCAGGGGGACAACCCGGCGAAAGCCGGGCUAAUCCCGCGUAUAUUCCGUGAGGGCAUCCUUACGGAAGGAAAGGCUUCGGCCGGACGGGGAUGGGCAUGCGGCGCAUUAGGUAGUCGGGGGUGUAACGGACCACCGAGCCGACGAUGCGUAGGGGUUCUGAGAGGAAGGUCCCCCACACUGGUACUGAGACACGGACCAGACUCCUACGGGAGGCAGCAGUGAGGAAUAUUGGUCAAUGGGCGAGAGCCUGAACCAGCCAAGUAGCGUGCAGGAUGACGGCCCUAUGGGUUGUAAACUGCUUUUAUAAGGGAAUAAAGUGAGUCUCGUGAGGCUUUUUGCAUGUACCUUAUGAAUAAGGACCGGCUAAUUCCGUG